rnacentral:rRNA from 1 species
CUAGCCCUAAACGAUCAGGACUUGGGGUGCCACCCGUUCGGGUGUCGUCCCGGAGCUAACGCGUUAAGUCCUGCACCUGGGGAGUACGGUCGCAAGACUGAAACUCAAAGGAAUUGACGGGGGCCCGCACAAGCGGUGGAACAUGUGGUUCAAUUCGACGCUACGCGAGGAACCUUACCUGGGCUCGACAACGGUGGACCAUCCUAGAAAUAGGAUUUUCCCUUCGGGGACUGCCGGUUCAGGUGCUGCAUGGCUGUCGUCAGCUCGUGCCGUGAGGUGUUGGGUUAAGUCCCGCAACGAGCGCAACCCUCGUCCUUAGUUGCCACCAUUCAGUUGGGCACUCUAGGGAGACUGCCGGCGUUAAGCCGGAGGAAGGUGGGGACGACGUCAAGUCAUCAUGGCCCUUAUGUCCAGGGCCACACACGUGCUACAAUGGGCGGUACAAAGGGUCGCGAACCCGCGAGGGGGAGCCAAUCCCAAAAAGCCGCUCUCAGUUCGGAUUGGAGUCUGCAACUCGACUCCAUGAAGUUGGAAUCGCUAGUAAUCGCGGAUCAGAACGCCGCGGUGAAUACGUUCCCGGGCCUUGCACACACCGCCAGUCGGACCAGGUCGAU